ACCUUCAACAUAAUUUGUUUUUGUAGAAAUAAUGGUUAAUUUUGGUUUUUGAUGGAAUUGAAAUGGCCCAUUUCAUGAUUUUAUUUUUUAUUUUUUUGGUAGAAAUGAUUGUUAAUUUUGCUGCUAUUGAUGGAUUGUGAAUGACCCGUUUCGUGAUUUUAGAAUUUUCUGUAGAAAUAACGAUUAAUUUUGCUGUUUUUCAAGGAAUUGCAGGUGACCCAUUUGUGAUUUUACAAUUUUAUGUAGAAGUAAUCAUUAAUUUUGUUGUUUUAACUAAGUGGAUUUUUAAGCAAAUGUGAGAUGAGGAGGAGAUAACGAAAAUGGAGUUUUUGAGAUUUGAGGAUGGAAAUAAAGGAG
rnacentral:lncRNA from 1 species